rnacentral:rRNA from 1 species
UGGGUUCAGAACGUCGUGAGACAGUUCGGUCCCUAUCCGUCGCAGGCGUAGGAAAUUUGAGAAGACCUGUCCUUAGUACGAGAGGACCGGGAUGGACGUACCUCUGGUGUACCAGUUGUCCUGCCAAGGGCAUGGCUGGGUAGCUAUGUACGGAAUGGAUAAGCGCUGAAAGCAUCUAAGCGCGAAGCCAACUUCAAGAUAAGAUUUCCCACCGCAAGGGUAAGACUCCAGAAAGACUAUCUGGUUGAUAGGUCGAAGGUGUAAGUGCAGCAAUGUAUUUAGCUUAUCGAUACUAAUAGGUCGAGGACUUGACCAAUAUUUAUU